rnacentral:tmRNA from 1 species
GGGGUUGACUGGAUUUGACAGCAGGUAGAGAUGGUACGUAAGCACGCGGAGUGACGGCUGUAAACUCCAUAAUCCAUUCGGUCGAACAAUUAAUUGGCGAAAACACUUACGCUCUCGCUGCCUAAACGAAGUACAGUAGUUUACUGGCUUUAUCCCUCUACAAGGUAGGGGGACGAGACAUCGCUCCAAGGAUGUGGUUCCGAAUCUGAGGACUCAGCGGUGCAGGAAAAUCGGAAAUAGUCGCACGGGCGCCUCGACGGUGCGAUGAAACUUUAGAGGAUAAGGUUGCAGUUGGUGGCUUGGGUCUUGCUGUAGCACGAAAAUGAAGUCCAAGAUAAGCGUGUAGAAAGCGUAUGGUUUCCCUGUUUGGACGAGGGUUCGACUCCCUCCAGCUCCACU